rnacentral:rRNA from 1 species
AUACCUACGGGAGGCAGCAGUGGGGAAUAUUGCACAAUGGGCGAAAGCCUGAUGCAGCAACGCCGCGUGAGUGAUGAAGGCCUUCGGGUCGUAAAACUCUGUCCUCAAGGAAGAUAAUGACGGUACUUGAGGAGGAAGCCCCGGCUAACUACGUGCCAGCAGCCGCGGUAAUACGUAGGGGGGUGGCGUUAUCCGGAUUUACUGGGCGUAAAGGGUGCGUAGGCGGUCUUUCAAGUCAGGAGUGAAAGGCAACGGCGC